UUUUUUUUUGUUAUUUUGGUUGGGUUUGUUCGGUUUUUUUUUUUUAAGUUUUUUUUCUAAUUUUUUCAAGGCUGACUUUCAGAUUUUCCUCUGGGAAAAAUAACCAAAAAAAACAAAAAACCACCCACGCCACCAACGACCCCCGGAGAGCGACCCCCAAACCCGAGCGGCUCCCGCGGAACCUCGGCCAAAGCCCCGCGCUCGCCUCCGCACCACAACAGCGACCCCGCGUUCCGCCAGGGGGACGGGAACAAAACCCCCAAAACCCCCAAAACGAACCCGAACGGACCGAACCGAACCCGAACGGACCGAACCGAACCCGAACGGACCGAACCGAACCCGAACGGACCGAACCGAACCCGAACGGACCGAACCGAGCCCGAGCAGCGCCCGCAGAGGGCUCGGGGUGCCCUGAGCCCUGCCCAGCCAGCGCUGCGAGCUCUGCCUCGCACGGCUGCUGCCUCCAGGUGACCUCGCCCGGCUCCUUCUCAUCCUCCCUGCUCCAAUUUCCCUUUUUCUUCCUAUUUUCUAUUUCUUCUCCUCAUUUUUCCUCCCUUUUUCUUUCCUCAUUCUCUUUUUCCUUUUUUUUUUCCCCCAUUGUUUCUUCCUUUCUUUCCCCUUUUUUCCACCUUUAUUUCUCUCCAUUAAUUUUUCCACCUUUAUUUCUCUCUCCAUCCUCUCCAUUAUUUUUUCCUCCUUUUCUCCCACCUUUAUUUCCCUCCCCUUCCUCUCCAAUAAUUUUUCCCCUUUUUUCCACCUUUAUUUCUCUCGCCCUCCUCUCCAUUAAUUUUUCCUUUUUUUUUUUUCCGCCUUUAUUUCUCUCGCCAUCCUCUCCAUUAAUUUUCUCUCCUUUUUUUCCCACCUUUCUUUUUCUCCUCCUUCUCUCCAUUAAUUUUUUUUCUCCUUUUUUCCCACCUUUAUUUCUCUCUUUUCCUCACCUCCAAUCUCCGUUUUGUUUUUUUUGGCUGAAAUUCCCACCGGAACAUUCCCAAAACCUUCCCAUUCCUCCCUUCCCCACCCCACCCUUUCCCAUCCCCUCCUCCCCAGGCAGGAGACGGCGACGAAACAGAAAAACAACAACAAAAAAAAAAAAAAAAACCCAAAACCAUCUUAACAAAUCCAUUUUUUCAUUGAACAAAACAGCGAAAAAUAAACAUAUUUUCAUAUACAACAAUAAAAAAAUAGAAAAGCACCGUGCCCUUACCUUUCGCCGUCCUUCUCCGCGGCACGGGUGGCGAUUUUGGGCCGGCAGAGAUAAACCCGGGCUUAUCAGUUUGGCUGCCAAAUCUUGUCCCGAGCCCAGAGCCCUCCGUGGCCCCUCGGGCUCCUCAUUUUUCCGCCCCUCGGGCUCCUCAUUUUUCCGUCCCUCGGGCUCCUCAUUUUUCCGUCCCUCGGGCUCCUCAUUUUUCCGUCCCUCGGGCUCCUCAUUUUUCCGUCCCUCGGGCUCCUCAUUUUUCCGCCCCUCGGGCUCCUCAUUUUUCCGCCCCUCGGGCUCCUCAUUUUUCCGUCCCUCGGGCUCCUCAUUUUUCCGCCCCUCGGGCUCCUCGUUUUUCCUCCCCUCGCCGGGAAAAAGCAGCAAAAAGCGCNNNNNNNNNNNNNNNNNNNNAAAGCGCUGGCGGUGCAAAAUCCGCUCUGCCUUUCCAUGAGAUUCCCAAAAAUUGAGAAAUUAGGGGUGGGGUUUAAAAAAUAAAAAUUAAAAAAAAAUGUUUAAAAUAGCGGGG
rnacentral:lncRNA from 1 species